rnacentral:lncRNA from 1 species
AGAUUAAAUCAAAAUGGACGGCUGAGAUCAAAAGGCAAAAGGGUAUAAAUAAGACCCCCACACCAGACCCCAAACCCUAGCCACCUGCCCUCGCCGGAGAAGACGAACCAGAAGCCGGCCGUCGCCACCUGCCACCGCACCGGAGGGAUUUUGGACCGCCAAUCGAGGUAAAUUUCAUACCCCCAACUUGUUUUUCCACGCUGAUUUCCCCAGUGGCCAAAUCGGAGCCAAAAUCCCGGCCAAACGGCCGGAAAACACGGCCGAAAGCCAGCGGCGCCGCCGCGCCCCUUCUCGAUUUUUGCCUCCGAUGAGGCCCUUCCCGGCCUCCGUUUAAUGCAAUUUUUAUAUCACCGUGAUCACCAUUCUUUUCUCUACAGGUUGAUCGGAGCCAAAUCACCAAAACACGAACUUCACCUGAGAGCCGCCGCACCCGAGAGCACCGCCGCCGGUAAGCUUUCAGUUUUUUCGUAAUUUUCGGCCCCCCGAGGGCCGUAGGGUUGUUUUAUCGCAGGAACCAAUGCGAGUGUGGCCGAAAACGGCCAACCCGAGGCAAACCGCCGCUGCAAGCGGCGGCGCCGUCGCCGGAGCACGGCGGAGCCGCCGUGCC